rnacentral:rRNA from 1 species
UACGAAGGGGGGCUAGCGUUGCUCGGAAUCACUGGGCGUAAAGCGCACGUAGGCGGCUUUUCAAGUCAGGGGUGAAAUCCUGGAGCUCAACUCCAGAACUGCCUUUGAUACUGAAGAGCUCGAGUCCGGGAGAGGUGAGUGGAACUGCGAGUGUAGAGGUGAAAUUCGUAGAUAUUCGCAAGAACACCAGUGGCGAAGGCGGCUCACUGGCCCGGUACUGACGCUGAGGUGCGAAAGCGUGGGGAGCAAACAGGG